rnacentral:rRNA from 1 species
CGCUGGCGGCACGCUUAACACAUGCAAGUCGAACGGAGUUAUCGAGAGCUUGCUUUGAUAACUUAGUGGCGGACGGGUGAGUAACACGUGAGCAAUCUGCCCUUAAGAGGGGGAUAGCAGUUGGAAACGACUGAUAAUACCGCAUAAGAUAGUAGUACCGCAUGGUACAGCUAUAAAAGAUUUAUCGCUUAAGGAUGAGCUCGCGUCUGAUUAGCUAGUUGGUGAGGUAACGGCUCACCAAGGCAACGAUCAGUAGCCGGACUGAGAGGUUGGACGGCCACAUUGGGACUGAGACACGGCCCAGACUCCUACGGGAGGCAGCAGUGGGGAAUAUUGCACAAUGGAGGAAACUCUGAUGCAGCGAUGCCGCGUGAGGGAAGAAGGUUUUAGGAUUGUAAACCUCUGUUGACAGGGACGAUAAUGACGGUACCUGUUGAGGAAGCUCCGGCUAACUACGUGCCAGCCGCCGC